rnacentral:SRP_RNA from 1 species
AUGGGGGGUCCUGCGCAAUGGGAAACCGUGAACCAUGUCAGGUCCGAGAGGAAGCAGCAUUAAGCGGUACAUCUCAUGUGCCGCAGAUUAGCCUCCUAUCGGC